AGCGGGGUGGGGCAGUCAGGAGUGCCCGCGGGGCCCAUAACCCCGAGGUCGUUGGUUCAAAUCCAACCCCCGCUA
rnacentral:tRNA from 1 species